GAUGAACGCUGGCGGCGUGCUUAAUACAUGCAAGUCGAGCGAACAGAUGAGGAGCUUGCUCCUCUGACGUUAGCGGCGGACGGGUGAGUAACACGUGGAUAACCUACCUAUAAGACUGGGAUAAUCUCGGGAAACCGGAUCUAAUACCGGAUAAUAUAUUGAACCGCAUGGUUCAAUAGUGAAAGACGGUUUUGCUGUCUCUUAUAGAUGGAUCCGCGCCGCAUUAGCUAGUUGGUAAGGUAACGGCCUACCACGGCCACGAUGCGUAGCCGACCUGAGAGGGUGAUCGGCCACCCGGGAAGUGAGACACGGUCCAGACUCCUACGGGAGGCAGCAGUCGGGAACCUUCCGCAAUGGGCGAAAGCCUGACAGAGCAAGCCCGCGUGAGUGAUGAAGGUCUUCGGAUCGUAAAACUCUGUUAUUAGGGAAGAACAAAUGUGUAAGUAACUAUGCACGUCUUGACGGUACCUAAUCAAGAAGCCACGGCUAACUACGUG
rnacentral:rRNA from 1 species